AUUGAACGCUGGCGGCAUGCUUUACACAUGCAAGUCGGACGAGUGGCGAACGGGUGAGUAAUAUAUCGGCACGUACCCAGUAAUGGGGGAUAACUAAUCGACCGCUUAGCUAAUACCGCAUAUUAUUCGAGCGGCCGAUAUCUGAUUAGCUUGUUGGUGGGGUAAAGGCCUACCAAGGCGACGAUCAGUAGCGGGUCUGAGAGGAGGAUCAGGAACACUGGGACUGAGACACGGCCCAGAAGCCUACGGGAGGCAGCAGUGGGGAAUAUUGGACAAUGGGGGAAAGCCUGAGGAAGCCAUGCCGCGUGUCUGAAGAAGGCCGUCGGGUGGAAAAGGAAUGGUGUCAGGGAAGCGGUACCUGAAGAAUAAGCACCGGCUAACUACGUGCCAGCAGCCGCGGUAAUAC
rnacentral:rRNA from 1 species